rnacentral:tRNA from 1 species
UUAAUUGAAACCAAGUCAGAGGUUUAUCACUGUUAAUGAUAAUAAUGGGAUAAUAAUCCCCAAUUAAG